CCUACGGGAGGCAGCAGUGGGGAAUAUUGCACAAUGGGGGAAACCCUGAUGCAGCAACGCCGCGUGAAGGAAGACGGUUUUCGGAUUGUAAACUUCUGUUCUCAGUGAAGAAAAAAGACGGUAGCUAAGGAGCAAGCCACGGCUAACUACGUGCCAGCAGCCGUGGUAAUACGUAGGUGGCAAGCGUUGUCCGGAAUUACUGGGUGUAAAGGGAGCGCAGGCGGGACGACAAGUCUGAUGUGAAAGCCACGGGCUUAACCCGUGGACUGCAUUUGAAACUGGUUUGCUUGAGUGAUGUAGAGGUAGGCGGAAUUCCGAGUGUAGCGGUGAAAUGCGUAGAUAUUAGGAGGAACACCAGUGGCGAAGGCGGCCAACUGGACGUUAACUGACGCUGAGGCUCGAAAGUGUGGGGAGCAAACAGGAUUAGAUACCCGAGUAGUC
rnacentral:rRNA from 1 species